AGAGGCUCAGAGGGGCGAAGCCGCGUGCUGAGGAGCGGUCCGAGAAGGCGCCAUGCAGGCAGCCUUUGGAAUUGGAUGAGCCUUUGAGGUGCCACGAGCGAUGACGGCCG